AAGCCAAGUCUGGACAGUCUUGUGCCAUCUGCCUCUGCGGGCUGCUUGCUGUGGGAGGCAUGGAGUUGAAUGCUGAGACAGACAUGACAGUGGAUGGAAGCCACAUGGUUAGCUGUGGCAUUUGACCUCUCUGGGCCAGAGCUUGUGAUUUAGGAACUAAGCCAUGCACCCGGCAGAAGAAAAUGCCCAAGACCUUCCUGCAUUGCACCUAUUAAAGGCUGCAGGUGGAGAAGGAAGUGGAUGGACGUUUCAUCUCACCCAUACAGUAAUGGGCCAGGGGAAGAGGCUAGAGCUCAGUGUGUCUGCUUUGCAUGCCCAAGGUCCCAAGUUUGAUCCCCGACAUCACCAGAUCAGUUCCAGCACACCGGAAGUCAAGAUGUGUGUCGUUUCACUCAUUGACAGUCUGAUCCUGUGGACAUUUACUGAGGGUGUUUACUGACAAGUAAAGACCCCCUGAUUUCAAUGGGACUUGAUCGUGGGUGGCACAGAAGAUGCCCAGGCAAAGGGAAGUGACAGCACUCUCAAAACAACCUGUCUUGCUUCAGUAAACGGCAACCCUAAAUCUGUGGCAAAGCCAUGGGGAACCAUCUCACCGGCAAAGGGCCUCUGAGGGAAAACUUCACUGAGGAUGGAAGUGGGAGACUGCAAGUGCCCCCCCCCCAGCAAAGAUUUCGUCAUUCAGGGUGCUGAGCCCGAACGUGCAAAGGCUUCCAUCGACCUGCCUCCAAGCUUAGAGAAACACAAUACCUGCCCCACCCCCAAGACAGAGCUGAAUUACCAAAUUGGCAGAGUAGGCACUGGCCUAUGGGCUCCAUGCCUUUUAGGGCCCUUGCAAU